rnacentral:rRNA from 1 species
GACGAACGCUGGCGGCGUGCUUAACACAUGCAAGUCGAACGAAGCACUGUUGAUUGAAUCUUCGGAGGAAAGAGACAGUGACUGAGUGGCGGACGGGUGAGUAACGCGUGGGUAACCUGCCUCAUACAGGGGGAUAACAGUUAGAAAUGACUGCUAAUACCGCAUAAGCGCACAGUACCGCAUGGUACGGUGUAGAAAAACUCCGGUGGUAUGAGAUGGACCCGCGUCUGAUUAGCUAGUUGGUGAGGUAACGGCUCACCAAGGCGACGAUCAGUAGCCGGUCUGAGAGGAUGAACGGCCACAUUGGGACUGAGAUACGGCCCAG